CCUGCUGUGGCGCAAUGGUGAGCGCAGCCGCCUCAUAAGCGGAGGGGUGCUGGUUCGAAUCCAGCCGGCAGGA
rnacentral:tRNA from 1 species